UACGUAGGGCGCAAGCGUUAUCCGGAAUUAUUGGGCGUAAAGAGCUCGUAGGCGGUGUGUCGCGUCGGCCGUGAAAACCUGCAGCUUAACUGUGGGCUUGCGGUCGAUACGGGCAUCACUGGAGUUCGGCAGGGGAGACUGGAAUUCCUGGUGUAGCGGUGAAAUGCGCAGAUAUCAGGAGGAACACCGGUGGCGAAGGCGGGUCUCUGGGCCGUAACUGACGCUGAGGAGCGAAAGCAUGGGGAGCGAACAGG
rnacentral:rRNA from 1 species